rnacentral:misc_RNA from 1 species
GAUGAAGAACGUAGCGAAAUGCGAUAAGUAAUGCGAAUUGCAGAAUUCCAGUGAACCAUCGAAUCUUUGAACGCACAUCGCGCCCUCUGGUAUUCCGGGGGGCAUGUCCGUCCGAGCGUCAUUACACCCUCGAGCCUCGCUCGGUGUUGGGCCUCGCCGCGACGCCGGCGGGCCUCAAAUGCAGCGAUCGACGCGUCUGGGCCUCAAGCGAAGUAAUGUCUGCCGCUUUGGAGGCCUCUAGCGCGGCCGACGCGUCCCCACGCACAUCCAUCGGUUGACCUCGGAUCGGGCAGGGAUACCCGCUGAACUUAAGCAUAUCAAUAAGCGGAGGA